UACGGAGGGGGCAAGCGUUGUCCGGAAUGACUGGGCGUAAAGGGUGUGUAGGCGGUUAGGUAAGUUAGAUGUGUAAUACCCAGGGCUUAACUCGGGUGCUGCAUCUAAAACUGCCUGACUUGAGUGCUGGAGAGGAUAGUGGAAUUCCUAGUGUAGCGGUGGAAUGCGUAGAUAUUAGGAGGAACAUCAGUGGCGAAGGCGACUAUCUGGACAGUAACUGACGCUGAGGCACGAAAGCGUGGGGAGCAAACAGG
rnacentral:rRNA from 1 species